rnacentral:rRNA from 1 species
GACGAACGCUGGCGGCGUGCCUAACACAUGCAAGUCGAGCGAAUGAAGUUCCUUCGGGAAUGGAUUUAGCGGCGGACGGGUGAGUAACACGUGGGCAACCUGCCUCAUAGAGGGGAAUAGCCUCCCGAAAGGGAGAUUAAUACCGCAUAAGAUUGUAGUACCGCAUGAUACAGCAAUUAAAGGAGCAAUCCGCUAUGAGAUGGGCCCGCGGCGCAUUAGCUAGUUGGUGAGGUAAUGGCUCACCAAGGCGACGAUGCGUAGCCGACCUGAGAGGGUGAUCGGCCACAUUGGGACUGAGACACGGCCCAGACUCCUACGGGAGGCAGCAGUGGGGAAUAUUGCACAAUGGGGGAAACCCUGAUGCAGCAACGCCGCGUGAGUGAUGGCGGCCUUCGGGUUGUAAAGCUCUGUCUUCAGGGACGAUAAUGACGGUACCUGAGGAGGAAGCCACGGCUAACUACGUG